rnacentral:tRNA from 3 species
GAAAAUCCGUUGGCUUUAUUGACCGUGAGGGUUCAAGUCCCUCUACCCCCAA